CCCAAAUCCUCCAAAAUACCCAAAUUUAGCAAAAAUCCACAGCGCGACUCAUCAAAAGCCACCCGUUCACAACAGAACCACCAAAAUCAAAAUAUUUGUUGAAAACCCUAAGCAUCACCGACCCAACGUCAAAAUCACGAAGGUGUGACCGAAUCCCAAAUUACCCACCAAUGAUUACACCCAAAAAAGCCCCAAUCGUGCUCCCACGAUGCUCAGAACAAAACCUAAAACGAACAAAAACAGCUACGGGGCGAUCAAAAGAAAAAAAAAAUUCUGAGACCAAAGAAGCGAAUUUUUCUUCUGAGAAUUUUGAACUGGAUAAAUCAAAGCAAUAGAUAGCAAUCACGUUAAGAGAAGAUGGAAUCUAAUAGGGGAAUUUAGGGGCUCUACAUAAGGUUCUCUCCACGAAACCCCUUCAUUUUUUUUUUUUUUAAUAUUGUUAUUGAAAUCUGCAAUUUCUUCUUUUCUUUAUAACUUCUUUUAUAUCAACAGGCAGUAGGAAAAAAAAAUUCACAGAGAUCCUUCUGCAAGAAGCAACCACCUGCGGGUAGCAGAAGAGCUCUCUCUCUCUCUCUCUCUCUCU
rnacentral:misc_RNA from 1 species